GUGGGCUGGGUUUGGCUCCGUACGGUGCUUGACGUGCUGUGACCCGUUUCAGGCUGCCCAGGCUUUGCUGAAGUUCUGCAGACCUUCAGUACCUGCAAGGGGAUGCUGGGCGAGAUCCUGUCUGCAUUCGAGUUCAUGGAUGCUGUGUGCAUGCAGCUGGUCAGGCGCCAUCUCCACCUGGCCAGCCCGGUGCAAGAAAGUCCGUUUUACGUCCUCAUCGAGACUUCAGGCUCCAAUGCAGGGCACGAUGCUGAGAAGCUGGGCCGCUUCCUGGAGCACGCGCUGGGCUCCGGCCUGGUGAUCGAUGGGACCAUGGCCACCGACCAGAGGAAAGUCAAGAUGCUGUGGGCCCUGAGGGAAAGGAUCACAGAGGCGCUGAGCCGGGAUGGCUACGUGUACAAGUACGACCUCUCCCUCCCCGUGGAGCGGCUCUACGACAUUGUGACUGACCUGCGCGCCCGCCUCGGCCCGCACGCCAAGCACGUGGUGGGCUAUGGCCACCUUGGAGACGGUAACCUGCACCUCAACGUGACAGCGGAGGCCUUCAGCCCGUCGCUCCUGGGUGCCCUGGAGCCCCACGUGUAUGAGUGGACGGCCGGGCAGCAGGGCAGUGUCAGCGCGGAGCACGGCGUGGGCUUCAGGAAGAGGAAUGUCCUGGGCUACAGCAAGCCACCCGAGGCCUUGCAGCUCAUGCAGCAGCUCAAGGCCCUGCUGGACCCCAAGGGCAUCCUCAACCCCUACAAGACGCUGCCCAGCCAGGCCUGACGGCCGCUCCCACUACUGCCAAGGCCCACUGGGGGUCAGCGGAUGGCUCUCGGGUGGGGGCGUUGCGGUGGCUCUGAGUGAUGAGCCGGCAGUGGGCAGGGGACCAGGCACCUGGUCGAAGGGACCAGGAGCCCGCACCAGGGAACUGCCGGACGCAGGCCCUCGGGCAGGAGCGUCUGGCAGAGUGGGGAGCGCGGCAGGCUCCCUCCUUUGCAGGGCGAGGUGGGGCCUCUGCAGCCGUCCUGGACAGGCCGGGGUGGCGGCAGCUUUGCCCACGUGGAAGCGGGCUGGGUCUCACUUGCGUGGUGGUCCCUGGCUCCACCUUGCCUGCUGCGGCCUGGGGAGCACUGGGUGGUUCUUCCACCUGUUUAAUGCUCAUUCCCUGGCAUGCGUGGGCAGCGGGGGGCGUGGGCAGGACCACAUGGGCCGUGAUCAUGGGUUGCCGAGAGGACCCGAGCGCUGUGGCUCUGCUGAAUGGAACUGGGUCCCUCAGGCCAUGGAUGCCCUCGGGAGGGGUGACUGGCUUGUGUCUGGGCCUGAGUGACAGGAAUGUGUCAUUUCCCGCAUCUUCUAGAGGGCUGCCAGCUGGGAAGACAGUUAUCAGGGCAAGCUGUGCUCUGAGUCUCGGGUUCUGCUUCUACAAAGAACGUGCGGUGCUGCGGGCGAGGGCCCCGGCGCGGACAAGGGCCGCUGCAGAGUGCGUUUCUGCUCGUCAGCCGCCCUGGGCAGCGGAUGGGCUGGGCGACACAGCUGGACGCACAUCUCCUGUCAUAAAUGUCCUGUGAGAAUCUGAAUUGGUUGCAGCCUUC
rnacentral:sRNA from 1 species